UACGAAAACAGAAAGUUUUGACGAUUGCCUCUUAUUGCAGAUGGAUCUGAAGAAUAUCCAACAAUGAUUUCUGAAGAACAUGAUUGAAACGUCAUUCGUGGUAACUUUUGCAGCCUGCAUAAAAGAUCCAUUUCACUGCAUAGAGAACUACACUACUCCACAGAAACUAAACAAGUCAAGAUCGUGUGUACUUUCACCAUGGCGAAACUCGAUAGUGUCUUGUUAACUAUAUUUGUUUUUUGCUCUACUGCUACUGCCCACUGCACUACAAAGUCAACCCCUACAACACCACAGCCGCC